UCCUUUGUAUGCUUUGAUGAUGCUACCUCUUCUGAUUAGUGGGAGGGGGAUCUGAAGGUAGCUUUAAUUUGGAUUAUCCCAAGGGAUAAAAGACGCUGAGCAUUUUUCCAUGUGUCUAAUUGGCUGUACCUUGUUUUUGAGAACAGUCUGUUUGAGAAGACUUCCUCUCAUUGUGUGGACUUUCUCUCCACCUUGUUGUUUCCUUUGCUGAGUGAAAUGCUUCAAAUAACAUAACUUCCCACUGUCAAUUCUCAGAAUUACUCACUGAGCCAAUGGAGAUCUUUUCAGAAAAUCCUUGUCUGUGCCUGUAUCUUGAAAGGCUUUGGUUUUGUUUUCUUCUAGCAGUUUCAAAGUUUUAGGUCUCAUAUGGAGGUCUCAUAUGGAUAGUCUGAAGUGGUUUUUGUGCAAGCCUUGUAUUUAAGUGCCUGUCACAACGACCCAUAGGAGAACAAAAGGCAACACAUGUCUACUGCAGUUUAUACUGAAUGAGUGGAAUCAUAAUCACAUGACGGUCAGGAAUGGACAAGGCCACACAUGCUGUGGCUGAUGGCAGGGACAGCCUGGGGCUCCGUGAGUGGAUUCCGUGUCCAGCACUCAUCGCUGGCCUAUACCACCUGCUGCUGUACAUAUGUUGGCUGUCCUUCCAGAGAGAAAGGGGGCUGUUUAGGGCAGAAAAUGCUGCAUCGUCAGCUGCUGACUCUCCAUUCCCGUGGAGAGAGGCGGAUGCUGAUGGUGCACGAUACAGAGAAAAGCGAUAAUUUCUUUUUCAUUUGAGAACAUGUUUUCAGGUGAGGAAUCGACCUCUUCCAUCAUACUCUGCUCUGUUUUGAAUAAAAUAAAGAGGACUGUGUAAAGGAAUGAUUUUUUUUAACCACUGCAUUAUGUCCUUUGCGUAUCAUGUCUCCUCUUAGCUAAGAACAGCAUUAUCCACUCUCCAUACGUAAAGGUACAGGGUCCGAAGUGCCGCGCACAUCUCGCAAAGCCUCGUAGCUGCAAGUGUGCCUUCCACACUCCCCUGAGCUCGUUGAUCUCCUUUGUAAGAUUCCGGAGGGCUAGGAAGAUGUCCCAGUGGGUGAGAUAUUGGAUGUGGAAGCAAAUUCGAAGAUGUCGGCUUAGAUCCCAGCACUCACGGAGAAAGCCACGUGUGGAGGUGGGUGUCUGCUAUGAUCCCUUUGUGGUAGGGGUAGGUUUGAGAGAUAAAGGCAGAUCUCUGGGCCUUGCAGGCCAGCCAGUCUAACCAAACCACAAGCUUGGAAAAUCUAUCUCAAAAACAAAGACAAAACAAUGACAAAAAAAAAAAAAAAGAAGAAGAAAGAACAGAAACAACCAAGAAUGUGGAAGUCAAUAAAAGAUACCUAGACUUGGCCUCUGGCCUCCACACAUGCACUCCGAGACAAGGAACAGCACUGAUAUACACAUGGCUGCCCUCUCUUUCUCCCCCCUUGUCUCUCUCCCCCCUCUCAUUACACUUUCCUCAGCAGCUGGUACGCUGUUUCUCCUUCUCCUCCCACUCAUCUGAAUGCCAGUUGUCCCAGCCUCCCAAUCCAGCCUCCCAAAAUGGCUUCAGUUUCCAAGAGACAGCUUGCUUCAAAAUGCCAUCCAGUCCCAUUGCCAGAGUGGGGAGUACAGGGAUUUGUCCAGUGGGAGGGACCGAAAACAACAGCCAGAGCCACCAUUCCAGGCAAGCUUUGUGAACAUGGAUGUCUGGAAGAUGAUUCUUGGGGAGGUGGAGAGGGCUAGUGAAAAUCACUAGCUUGUUGGGGGAGCCCUGCAUGGCACAAAGGAGUCUUCAGUAUUAUUCUGUGGCCUAAUUUACCUUUCUGGGAGUUAAGAAGACUAAACAGAGCAUGCAUUUUAAGUUACCUGUGUGCAGUUUAGAAACACCGUGGUUUGUCUGCCCUAGAGGACUGGUUUCACUUGCACACAUGACCAAAUCCGUGGGCACUCAAGUCCUUUCUAUAAAGUACCACAGUAUUUGGACAGAACCUAGGUGCAUCCCCCCAUAAUUUAAUAUUCCCUCUAGACAACUAAUGAUAAUACAGUGUAGACAAUAUGCCAAUGGUUGUGUUGCAAUGUUUAGAGAAUAAUGUUGAGAAGGAAAAUGUGCUCAUGGUGAGUAAAGAGAGUUUGUGUUUUAACAUCUUAAAUCUAAAUGUGUUGCAUGAAUGAACGCACCUCUGAAUUGACUGGGCCCAAUUCUGCCCUAGUUUUUAUUCGUAUUUAAAACUUCAGAGUAUUAAAGGCAUAUCAGUCACUAAUCUCAGCGUUCCCUGAAUUUCCCUUCUUCGAUUUGGUUUUUUGUCAGUUCCCCGUAAUACCAUGACACUCUUUGGUGGAAAGGCAUACAUUGACUCCUCUAUCUGAGAACAAAUAGGAACCCACACACAGCUGUGGAAGGAGAUUGGGAGACCCAGGAUGGACCUGUCAUCAAGAGCCACAGAGAUUAAUCCAAAAGUGAUCGCAGGACACAAACUGGGCAGUCAGAAUCCUUUGUUGGAUUUCUGAAGCCAAAUUUGGAGUUGACAAGGGCUCCUUACGACUGUAGCGGGAGCAGACAGUGUCUCUGCCCACAGUGGGGACCAGAAGCUAAUAAGGGGAAGAUAAACUAAAAGGGUGACUUCUGCCGUUUCCUGAGUCUAACUUCCUCUCUCCAUGAGCUAAUAAUUUUUUCUCUUUCUUGAACUUGUUUUCUGUCUCUUGACUGAAACAACGGAAAACGUUUGAAAUGUGGUGCAGAGAAAGGAACUAUCUAGCAUAGCCAAGCUCGGGGUAGCACUGAAGUAGGUGUGCUGUUUUAAAGCUUACAUCUCGGGUGGAACAACGCAGGUGCCAGAAGAUACACCUGAAAGUGGUCAAAAUGCUCAUGCAUGCAUUGACCGGUGCAGCUGGGAAGUCCCCAAGUGUCCCUCACAUACCGACGUCGGGACUCUCAAAUGCUGUCACCAACUGUCUGACCUUGUGCGUUGUCCCUUCCUGCCUCGAAUGGUGCCUUCACCUUGUGCCCCUCACACACAAAAUGGAAAAAGUCAUCAUCAGGCAGGCUGACUCCAGUCACAAUUGUGCCACCUGCAGGCUUACUCGGUUGGGAAAGCCGUCUAAAGAUACUAACUAUGACAAAAAUGAGAAUUGUGCUUCCGUUUCCAUAUGAUAUUCUCAAAAUCAACUGUCUGUGCACGUAUGUGUGUGUGUGUGUGUGUGUCUAAAGCGUGUAUACCUAUAUGCUACAAUGUAUAGCUGAAAAGUCAUGAAAGAAUAUGUAACACAUUUCUGAAACUUCUUAGGUAGGGUAAGGAAUGGAGUCAAGAAUAAAAUACUAGGGGCGUCCUUGAUAGUCACAGCGGCAUCUCUAUGUGUUUACUUUGUAAGGCUUCUCCAGAUUUUAGAGGCUGCUUGAAUUCCUAGGCUCAUGGUCCUCGUCCAUCUUCAAAACCAGCAAUGGCCAGCUGACUCUUUUUCACAUUAUAACUCUUGACCUAGCUCUUGCCUUCAUCUUCUGCAUUUAAGGACACUUGGGGUUCCACUGGGUCCACCAGGAGAGCCCAGCAUACUCUCCUUGUUUCUAUGUCCGUCGAUUAGCAACUGUAACUCUCUCUGCUUCCUUAGCCAUACACGGAAGCACAUUCCAGGUUCUCAAAAUUAGAGAGCAGACACCUUCAAGAGGCCCUGAUCCUGUCCGCCAUACAUUACAGGUCCACUGGUACAAGUGUGAACGCACUGUUGUGUAAAAUAACAACUCAUAACGUAAAGCCUAUGAUUAAAAUGCUAGCAGUCAUCCCAGGCAGUGGAAGUCGAUUUCCCCUCAAAUUUUGCGGUAAUGCAUUAUCUUUUCAAAUAUUGGUUGAUCUGUAUCAGAAGUGACCAGCAGAGCUGGUUUCAUUGGUUAACGUGAUCAGCGUCAGUGGGAUGUGUGAAGGGAACAGUCUCUGGUAUCUAAAGUCCUGGUUCCUAAGGGUCUUAAGGCUCAUAAAAGAAGUGAAAGGGAGCAGCAGCCUCAGAGAAGCCGUGCAACUGGACCCCCUCCCCCCACCCCCACGCAUCAUUCCCAACACAAUGGACGAUGCGGAGCCAAGGCACUAGAAAAACUCCCAUCUGCUAAUAAUCCAAUUAGAGGGAGUCAAAGCCAAGUGGAACACUCGUGCUGACGGAUCUACAACCUGCCUUCCAGUGGCUCUGUGAGGAGCUGCGGGAAGUGAGGAAUGAAAGGCGCACUGAGGAUCCAAGAUGGUGCGUCCCAGCACCACAGACUUUCUCUCUGCCGCCCCCUGCAGAUAACUCCUAUUCCACAGCCCCUCCGGCUGUCCCUCCCAGAUAACCCCAUCAGCUUCUCCACUUCUCCGUCCCUCUGCAUCGCCACACUAGCAUCCUCUCCCCACUAAAUCUUGGCCUCUAGAAAACAGUAUGUAUUGCCAGUAUAUUCCAGAUUAUGAGAUGCUUAUUAGGUGUUUGGUGAAACUCUAGGAUUCUGUGGUCAAAACUUGGGAAGGCCAAGCUAACAAAAUUAAAUCCAUUGUUUCUCCCCCAAGACAUGCAGGACCAUUGACAUGAUCAUGUGCACCGUAAUACUGCAGGCAGUGGUUAUGGAAAGCUGUAUAUCCAUCUAAUUGUGGGGCCACAAUAUUAAAGGGUUUCUGAUGGAAUGACGGUUCUGCUUGCAGAACUAGUAUUAAAGAUCCCCCAACACAGACACACAGACACACACACAGACACACACACAGACACAGACACACACACACACACACACACACACACACACACACACACACACACAGAGUGCUGGGAAAGUUAAGAGCUGAAGCCUUCAAACCCAAAGGAUCUUGAGUAAUCAUCCUUUUCAGCUCUUUGAAUCUGAGAGGGGUGUUUUUUACUGGUCAUGGUCUGAGUUAGGUGCUUUUAGGUCCUUGGCCUUGAAGAAGAGGAGGAGGAGGAGGAGGAGGAGGAGGAGGAGGAGGAGGAGGAGGAGGAGGAAGAAGAAGAAGAAGAAGAAGAAGAAGAAGAAGAAGAAGAAGAAGAAGAAGAAGAAGAAGAAGAAGAAGAAAAGAGGAGGAGGA